AACGUAGGUCACAAGCGUUGUCCGGAAUUACUGGGUGUAAAGGGAGCGCAGGCGGGAAGACAAGUUGGAAGUGAAAUCUAUGGGCUCAACCCAUAAACUGCUUUCAAAACUGUUUUUCUUGAGUAGUGCAGAGGUAGGCGGAAUUCCCGGUGUAGCGGUGGAAUGCGUAGAUAUCGGGAGGAACACCAGUGGCGAAGGCGACCUACUGGGCACCAACUGACGCUGAGGCUCGAAAGUGUGGGUAGCAAACAGG
rnacentral:rRNA from 1 species